AUCUCAUUUCACACAGCAGGUUUGGUCUUUUAAAAACCCCGCCCUCACAGACGUGGCAGAAUGAAAGACUAUAAACAUACAGAGCAUUGCACUACAGCUUCCGCUUUUCACAGUGACGACCAACAGCAUCACAACUAGUUUAAAACUCACAGAAUGGCAGAGGCAGCUAGAUGUUAUUCCUUUCAUGGUGGAAUAAACGAUCGCAAGCAUCCUGAGGUCAGCCAUGGUGGACACAUUAGCAUAGAAGAUCUGAGAAUAGCACUUAAGGAUGAUACUAACGUGGUGCAAAUACGGCGUGACUUUGAAAGGUUGGGAAGACACUAUGAACUAAAAAUACUUGAUCAUUUGACUAAUAACAUCCCAAACUAUCCAACCCCCAUUGAAUUUCACAUCUCAGAGGUGACUCAUGUCACUAACAAUGACCAUCUUUUGGAAAUCAUGGCCUCGGGAGGAUUCAAGGCUCAUGAGAAGUUCUCGUGGUGGAGUGUGAAGAUUGAUGAAGGGAGUAUAAAAGCAGCUGAGGAGCGUUAUUUAGAGAAGGUGUUCCCAAAAAGAUCCCAAGAGCAAAAAGAAAGACAGGAGCCAUUCCUCUACAAAUUCACCAUAUCACCUGCAUUUCACAUUGACAAAUCACGCUAUGGCAACUUUCGCUUCACAUUUCCCCUGAAAGAACUUAUGGAAACAUACAAGGAGCAGAUGUGCAGAGGCCAAGACCCCGUUCUCAGGGAAUAUAAGACAGUGUUUUACAGGCAGGAGAUCAUGUAUGUUGUUCUCGUUCACAGCCCUAAAGACAAUGAGAGCUUUGAGAAUUUCCCAAAGAUUGAAAAAAGCUCAUUUGUAGAUUAUGAGGGAAAUCAAAUUGUCUGGAAAGCACAAGCCAUUGGUGAUGCCAUCAAUUUUAAACUGGUACUAAAUACAGAAGACCGAAUAGCUACGGCUGAACUUGUGCUUGAUCGUUUUUAUGUAUGGGAUCAUGUUAGCCUAGCAUUUCAUUUUGAUGAUGUAUUACGGUUCCCUCGAGAAACCCUUCAGAAGAGCAUCACCUGCUGUAAAUUGGAUAAAAUAAAUCUUGCAAAAGGGAGAACCUGCUCCUCUCUUGGAGAAGCAGAAGAAAUGCUUUCCAAAUAUUUGAUGUAA
rnacentral:lncRNA from 1 species